rnacentral:tRNA from 1 species
UCCCUGGUGGUCCAGUGGUUAGAACUUUAUGCUUCUACUGCAAGGGGCACAGGUUUGAUCCCUGGUCAGGGAA